GAUGAACGCUAGCUACAGGCUUAACACAUGCAAGUCGAGGGGCAGCAUGGUCUUAGCUUGCUAAGGCCGAUGGCGACCGGCGCACGGGUGAGUAACACGUAUCCAACCUGCCGUCUACUCUUGGACAGCCUUCUGAAAGGAAGAUUAAUACAAGAUGGCAUCAUGAGUCCACAUGUUCACAUGAUUAAAGGUAUUCCGGUAGACGAUGGGGAUGCGUUCCAUUAGAUAGUAGGCGGGGUAACGGCCCACCUAGUCUUCGAUGGAUAGGGGUUCUGAGAGGAAGGUCCCCCACAUUGGAACUGAGACACGGUCCAAACUCCUACGGGAGGCAGCAGUGAGGAAUAUUGGUCAAUGGGCGAGAGCCUGAACCAGCCAAGUAGCGUGAAGGAUGACUGCCCUAUGGGUUGUAAACUUCUUUUAUAAAGGAAUAAAGUCGGGUAUGGAUACCCGUUUGCAUGUACUUUAUGAAUAAGGAUCGGCUAACUCCGUGCCAGCAGCCGCGGUAAUACGGAGGAUCCGAGCGUUAUCCGGAUUUAUUGGGUUUAAAGGGAGCGUAGAUGGAUGUUUAAGUCAGUUGUGAAAGUCUGCGGCUCAACCGUAAAAUUGCAGUUGAUACUGGAUAUCUUGAGUGCAGUUGAGGCAGGCGGAAUUCGUGGUGUAGCGGUGAAAUGCUUAGAUAUCACGAAGAACUCCGAUUGCGAAGGCAGCCUGCUAAGCUGCAACUGACAUUGAGGCUCGAAAGUGUGGGUAUCAAACAGGAUUAGAUACCCUGGUAGUCCACACGGUAAACGAUGAAUACUCGCUGUUUGCGAUAUACAGCAAGCGGCCAAGCGAAAGCGUUAAGUAUUCCACCUGGGGAGUACGCCGGCAACGGUGAAACUCAAAGGAAUUGACGGGGGCCCGCACAAGCGGAGGAACAUGUGGUUUAAUUCGAUGAUACGCGAGGAACCUUACCCGGGCUUAAAUUGCAGAUGAAUUACGGUGAAAGCCGUAAGCCGCAAGGCAUCUGUGAAGGUGCUGCAUGGUUGUCGUCAGCUCGUGCCGUGAGGUGUCGGCUUAAGUGCCAUAACGAGCGCAACCCUUGUUGUCAGUUACUAACAGGUUCCGCUGAGGACUCUGACAAGACUGCCAUCGUAAGAUGUGAGGAAGGUGGGGAUGACGUCAAAUCAGCACGGCCCUUACGUCCGGGGCUACACACGUGUUACAAUGGGGGGUACAGAGGGCCGCUACCACGCGAGUGGAUGCCAAUCCCAAAAACCUCUCUCAGUUCGGACUGGAGUCUGCAACCCGACUCCACGAAGCUGGAUUCGCUAGUAAUCGCGCAUCAGCCACGGCGCGGUGAAUACGUUCCCGGGCCU
rnacentral:rRNA from 1 species